rnacentral:lncRNA from 1 species
GAGGGAGAAACUGAGUAAACAAGUUAAUAUUGCAGAAGCAGAAAACAAAUUAAUAAGAGAGAGAGCACGAUUAGUAAGAAUUGAGGUACCAUAUAGACAAGUGAUAGCUAGGAGAAUUCAUUAUACAAUCAUAUUAACAUGUAUCAUUCUUUAGCAGGAUAUUUAGUUAAGAAAUUAAAAUUCAUGGUUCAGGUGCCUAACUUAAACAUCAUUGCAAUUCUCAUUCCCAUUUCAUCUCAUGAAUCACUUUUUAUACAAUCAUAUGGUGCAGGAAGCUAGGAGAUUUCAAUACAUGCUCAAUCAAUGAAGCAUAUGGUGAAAUAACUUAAAAUCAGUAAGCAAAGUUAAGAAUCAACUUAAAAUCAAAUCAAAAAUAUCAACUCCUAAACAUGCACAACUGGAUCGAAAAUUUCAAUCAGAAAUAUAUCAAAAUUAACCUAGAAAUAUCAAAGUUAAGAAUCAAUUUAGCAUCCAAUCAGAUAAUCAAAACCCUAAGCAAAGUCAUAAACCCCAUAUACAUAAACAUUAUUUACCUCUGGUGAAUCAAAUGUCAUUCCUAGCAGUAUGAAGGAAUCAUCAAGACCCUGAACUCCAAUACCAAUGGGUCUGUGCCGUAAGUUUGACCUUUCAACUGUUUCAACUGAGUAGUAAUUGACAUCAGUUAUUUUAUUAAGGUUUUCAAAGUCAAAAUACCAAUUACUAGAGCCUAUGCUCCCAACAAGUUUAGAUUGAUGACAUUCGAAAUUAAUUGUAAGUCAUAGUUAUUAUCUUAUCUUUCAUGAUUUAAAUUUAUAAAGCUUUGAAAAGACUUCUGCAAAACAAUAAGCUAUGCUUAUCAAGGAACUUGUGUAACGUCAAACUGGUUGACUCACUUCCGGC